CUUGGCCCACUUCCAAUUACCUACCUCCGCGCAGCCCACGGUCCAGACUACCACUGCGCCGCGGUGCCAAUCGCACGCGCCUGUGCCGGGUCCUUCGCUGACCAGCGGGGCCCAGUCGUCAUCUUCUUCCCCCACUCACUCGACGCAGACCCAAUCUCAACAGAAAUCGCCGCAUGACUCGGAUCCCGCUACUGCUUCCCUGGCCGCGCGGCUGUGGCGCUACUGACGGGCAGGCCCGCUGACCAACCUUCCCAUCGCGCGCGGACUUCUUUCGCACGCCUGGCGAGUGGGACCCAGUAGCCGGUCCCUUCCCCAAACGGCGGACCUGUUAGUACCGAGGGCGAAAACUCCGGGGAAAUGGUGGGCUCGUCGCGAUCCGUGAACUCCGGUGCAUGCGGCAUUGACCGCUUGGACGGGCACACGCGCGACACAGGCAGGUGGCCCCUUGUGCCAGAAGCAUCCUCCUCCCCGUCGCUCGCCAACUGCGCAGUGGUUUCACCGAGCUCCUCCUACCUGACGCGCGCGCAGGGGACGGAGAAGUCGCAACGGCGCCGGAUUUCGCGUCAACGAAAGCUCCGCAACCUCCUCCACUUCUCCCUACGCAGCUCCAUUCCCCCCUGCGCAUAUAAGUGAACGUCCGUGGUCGUCGUUGGCCGUGAUGGCCGCCACCAUGGUCGCGCGCUCCAGCCAGCCGUGGAUCCGUUCCCUGCCGUCUCGGCCGAGCGCCAGCACCUGAGCAGAAGAGAGAAACCGAGGAGAGAGAAAGAGCGGGAAUGGAGGAAGACCGGAGUGGAGAAAGCGCCGCCGCCGGUGAAACCUCCGGCGCCGGUGUUCCAUCCUCUGUGCGUAGUCGCGUGGGUGCGCCAACGUCCGGGGGAAUCCGUCCGUGCCUUCGGAGCGGGCUGGGCGACCCCGAAUCGGGCGGAAUUCCACGCCGGUGAACGUGCCAGAGCAGAACUACCUCCUCCCCGUGGUCGGCUCGCUAGCGCAGACAAUCCCCGGAGAAGAACAGGUGGUUCAAGAGGAGCCACACAUCGAGGAGUUCGAUUCGAUCUAGGUGGCAUCUCCCAGUUGACUUUUUGACGCCAAGGAUGGUAUUUAGAUAUUGUUAUAUUUAUCUUUUAUUUUGUAAAACUUCCGCUAUGUAAUAAAUACUCUGAUUAUUGUGACAUUUAUCUUUAUACACUCUAUUAUUAU